rnacentral:lncRNA from 1 species
AGAACUACACAACUUUUAAUGCUGACAAUGGAGCAACUGGAAUAGUUAGAGAUAGUGUCUAUCUUGGUUCAAUCAUCAAUCCAAAUGGAGACUGCAGCCAGGAAAUCAGAAGACAACAGAGACUAGGAAGGGCAUCAAUCCAGAAACUAGAUUGGAUUUCCCCAAGCCAGUUGCUAAAGGGCACUUUUCUGGAGGACCCACUUUGGGGUUAUAUAACUUGGAUGUCUGAACACUAAUCUUCACCAAGCUUGGAGGGAUUGUAGUGGGGAGUCAUUAGAAGCUUGCCUGUAAUGUUGGUGUCUCUAGGUGCCUUGGGGGGGUGACUUUCUGGGGGGGCUCCCUUUGGGUUUAGAAUUUGAAUGUCCAAAACUCAAACUUCACCAAACCAAACCUAGAAGAUUUGUAGAGGGGAGUCAGGGGAAGCUUCUCUGUGAAUCUGGUGUCUUUAGGAGGUUGGGGACCAUUUCAUAGGGUUUUAAAUUCUAAAAUGAAUUGACAAAUCAGUUUGUCAGUUCAUCAGAGAAAAAUUGUAAAUUCAGAAUUUGUCAAUCUUGACAAAUUACAAAUCAAAAUGAAUUACCAUUUUUCUGAUUUGUGCCCGUUUCCACAAGAUUGUUCUGCAUGUGUCAUGUGUGAUAACCCUUCUCUUUUGCCUCCAUGACUUGUUGAUUUUGUCCUCUACUCUCUUUCCUUUCCUUUUCCUUUCCUUUCCUUUCCUUUCCUAUGUUUUCCUUUUCUUUUCUUCCUCCCUCCCUCCCUUCGCAGCAAAUGCCAUCUGGUGUCACAGAUGCCCAAAGUCAGAGAGCUGUCUAGAACCACCAGGAUUCUGUUGGGCAGACGAGGGAGCUGGCUGUUACACAGGGAAUCUCUACAUUGGUUGGAUUUCCUGAGGUACAUCCAGAUGCAACUCUUACACAGCUCUCAACCACUUAUUUCCAUUGAGUCUUCUGGU